GAUGAACGCUGACGGCGUGCCUAAUACAUGCAAGUCGAGCGAACGGACGAGAAGCUUGCUUCUCUGAUGUUAGCGGCGGACGGGUGAGUAACACGUGGAUAACCUACCUAUAAGACUGGGAUAACUUCGGGAAACCGGAGCUAAUACCGGAUGAUAUUUUGAACCGCAUGGUUCAAAAGUGAAAGACGGUCUUGCUGUCACUUAUAGAUGGAUCCGCGCUGCAUUAGCUAGUUGGUAAGGUAACGGCUUACCAAGGCAACGAUGCAUAGCCGACCUGAGAGGGUGAUCGGCCACACUGGAACUGAGACACGGUCCAGACUCCUACGGGAGGCAGCAGUAGGGAAUCUUCCGCAAUGGGCGAAAGCCUGACGGAGCAACGCCGCGUGAGUGAUGAAGGUCUUCGGAUCGUAAAACUCUGUUAUUAGGGAAGAACAUAUGUGUAAGUAACUGUGCACAUCUUGACGGUACCUAAUCAGAAAGCCACGGCUAACUACGUG
rnacentral:rRNA from 1 species